CACAGGAUGGUUUCUGGCUUUGUCAAUGUAACAGGAGAGAGUUAAAAAAAAAGGCAUGGACAUUUCCACUUACUGGAGUUGUAAACGAGUAAAUUCUAUAUUUUCCUGAAGCAUCUUUAUUUUAAAGGCGUCUGAGGAGUAAUGUGUGCAGGUUAUUUAUGAAUUGUAAGUUUGCAAUUGAAAAUAGCCCACAAACCAAGUCUGGACCCAUCUUACCCAGCUGGUCCUGUCCAUUGGUGCUAUGAAAAGUGUGAUAUUUGCGGUGGCAGGUGCCUUUGUGUUAUGUCUGAGAAUUCAGAAGUGUUAAUACUAAAGGUAAAGGAAACUGCGGUGUCUUUGAUCCUGCUAUGUGGUAACUGUUGUCAGAUGUGAACAGAGAAGCUGUGGAAGGAAAACUGGACACAAAAUUGUGAGGAAAUCACAUUAAACAUAUCAGCCACCUUCCUUUGGGAUGAUCAGAUCACUUGCAGUACUCCUGUACUUUCCCAGCAAACAUUUAAAGGCCCUGGAUACGCUCUGUCGUGUUUUCUGACAGGCAGGGACUGCAGCAAGGAUGCUACUGCCAUAGCUGGGAUGAACAAAUGCGUCCCUGCCAGAGGCUGCCUCACUCAGGCACCUUGUCUCUCGGGGGUUUUGGGUCCACUCUCUGCCAUGAAGGCUCUGGCUCCACAAUGACAUAGAGGCCUUCCAUAAUACAGCACCUCUACAGCCAUUUGAAUCAGAAAGCAAUGGAAAAAGCGUUGCUUGAAUUUAAAAUAAGAGCUUGUUCUGUAGUCGGCUUUUCCCACUCCUUUCUCAGCAAGAUGAUUUAAGGCUCUGCCUGCACUGAGGGCUGAAUUCCUGACUGAGACGACAAAACAUCUACUUCAACAUGUUUUAGCUCAAGUAUAGGCCAGCCCAAAGCUGAAAUCUUUUCUAAAAGCUGGGCUCUGGGAUGAACUGCUCUGCUAUCCUCCCCUCCCACCACUCUGAGUGCAACUUGCAUUUAAAGCCUUCAACAACCAGAUUUGCAGUUUUGUGGUCCCUCAUCCUACCUCCUGCUCCCACUCCCUCACCUUCUGAUGGGUUUACAGAUCUGCCUGCAAGGAGAUGCUGGGCUGAUUCCUGAGGGAUUGCUCGUCUGGACAGCUCUGAUCCAGGCUCCCAGAAGACCCGUGCCCAAGGCCCCCAAACCAGCACCAGGUGAUGCUGAAUCGAAGCCUGCCUUUUGCAGUUCUCACAAUAUCCUACUUUUGAAGCAUGUCAUCUCGCAGCCUCGUCGACGUGGGAGACGUAACUUAUCAUUACAAAGAAGUCUUCCAUCUUUUCAAUUAAAAGCAUCGCACUUAUCACAGGGCCAG